UAAAAUAUUUGCUGAAAUGCUAAUGAGAAUAAACAACCUAGAGAGGAAUAUAACUGAAUUGAUGGAGCUGAAAAACACAACACGAGAACUUCGCGAAGCAUACACAAGUUUCAGCAGCUCAACUGACCAUGCAGAAGAAAGAAUAUCAGAGGUCGA